CUCUCUCGAAGCGCUGCGUCAGUUGUUGUUUGGUGCAAAGUUGUAACUCCUAACGGAGAUCCCUCAUCUGCAAAACCUGCCUCAAAAAUGAACAAACUUGAUCAUGUUAGUGGUAAAGAAGUGAAGUCUCCUGAGACAGAAAUGAAAGUGAGUCCUGUUCCUACUAGUAUCUUUUUAAAGAAGGGAGCCCGGCCUAAGAUCUGCCUGCAGAUUUAUGGGAGAGACCUGGAGAAUGCAAGGAAGUUGGCGUUU